rnacentral:rRNA from 1 species
AUUGAACGCUGGCGGCAGGCCUAACACAUGCAAGUCGAACGAGUGGCGGACGGGUGAGUAAUGUCUGGGAAACUGCCUGAUGGAGGGGGAUAACUACUGGAAACGGUAGCUAAUACCGCAUACCAUCGGAUGUGCCCAGAUGGGAUUGGCUAGUCGGUGGGGGAAAGGCUCACAUAGGCGACGAUCCCUAGCUGGUCUGGGAGGAUGACCAGCAAAACUGGAACUGAGACACGGCCCAGACUCCUAGGGGAGGCGGCAGUGGGGAAUAUUGCACAAUGGGCGAAAGCCGGAUGAAGCCAUGCGGGGUGUAUGAAGAAGGCCUUCGGGUUGUAAACUACUUUCAUCGGGGAGGCGUUACCCGAAGAAGAAGCACCGGCUAACUCCGUGCCAGCAGCCGCGGUAAUUC